CGCGGCCCCGCGCGGCGCGGACGGCGGGCAGCACCGUGCCUGGGCCCCCUCCUGCUCCGGUUCCAGAAUGACGCUCGGCCCACGGACAGAGCCUGCCCAGUCACCCUCGGCUGCUAUUGAUCCCGAGGAUGAUGGCCGCCCCUGGCCACUUCCCUCCUCUCUCUUCGGCUCCAGAACAGCCCAAGGAGCAGAAAAGAGUGAUAAGGCCGUGAAAGGAGGCGCCUGGGACGUAGCCAGCUCUAGGAGGUUACCCCAUGCGGAGUACACACCCUGCUACACCCAUCCCGGAGGAGGGAGGAAAUAGCCAGCCCGGAGCACCCCUGGACUCUGCCGGUCUCAGAGGCCACGCAAACUCCGCCCAGACUCGGUGAGGCCGCGGUAAUGCCACGCAGGGAACUGCGUGGAUAAGGUCGCUCGGAUCUGAGCGCCAAGGUCUCCUGCCUCUCCUUCCCGUCUAGUUCUCUCCGGACUCAAAUUGCCUUAAUCUCACCCAUCACUGUCUCAUGGAAGUGAUCUACUCGUGUGCAGUACUUUACAGCUUGUAUCACUGUCUCCCCUGAACCGUAUAGCAAGCGGGUGGUGGAGGGUGGAAGAGAAGGGUACUAUCUCCACUUUCCCGGCCAGGAAGCCCAAUUUAGGAGGCUUGUCCGAGAUCCCUAGGUCAGCGCACUAUUUAAGGUGAGAAGUUGGGUGGGGAGCUUGGCACCUUGCUCCAGUGUGCCCUUUGCGCCUGGCCAUGUUUUAAACCAAGGGGGGCUUGGGCUGGUUAAGGGGGAGCAGGGACCGCAGGGCCAGGAAAGGGCAGCAUCCGGCAGGCCGGGGCGUCACGGUGUGCGCCUGGCCUGGCUAAACAACUCCGGCUUCCCACGAGCGCUGGAGGGACCCUGGGCAUGGGGCAGGGGCGUGGGGGGGGGGCAGGGAGCGGGUGGAACAGCAAGGUCAAGCGUGGAGAUCCCAGUUGCGAGUCAGCUCCGCGCCGCGGAGCAAAGACAGGACGUGGAUAAUCUUGGGAGGGAGACGCUGAGCUGAAGAACAGAAAAGAGAGAUAGAGGCAGAAGUGAGGAGAGAGGGACAGGAAAAGAAAAUAAAGGCAGAAAACCAGAGAAAAGAUGAGACGGAGUGCGGAAAAGCAGGCGGGGAUAAAGGAAGGAAAGAUCUGUCGGGGAAAUACGGGGAGAAGUGGAGGAAAAGAGAAAAGAGACCCAGAGAGAGACCCAGCCACGAAGAAGGCCGCGGGUCCCGGCGCGGAGCCGACGGCCCUGCAGGCACGGAGGGGGCGUCCCGCGGGUCUGGGGGUGUACGGCUUUGGGACAGGCGAGUGCGUGCUGAGAGAAGGAGGCAGCGUGUUUGGUGGGAGACUCUGCGCCCGUGGAAAAGCGGCUCUGGGCAGGAAUCCAACAAAUAAAUAAAACGUCUAAGACGGCGUGACAACAAUG
rnacentral:antisense_RNA from 1 species